rnacentral:rRNA from 1 species
CAAUAGCAUAUAUUAACGUUGUUGCAGUUGAAAAGCUCGUAGUUGAACUUUUGGUAGGAGCGACCUGGCCUUGGGCGCAUGCCCUUGUUUGCCGUGUGUCGUAUCUGGCCAUCCUUUUCUUCGUUUUUCGGAGGAAUCUUUUACUGUGAGUAAACUGGAGUGCUCAAAACAAGACGUUUGUUUGGUACAUUAAAGCAUGGAAUAAUAAGAUAGGACCUGGUUACUAUUUUGUUGGUUUGCAUAUCUAGGUAAUGAUUAACAGGGACAGUUGGGGGUAUUCGUAUUUAAUUGUCAGAGGUGAAAUUCUUGGAUUUAUGAAAGACGAACGACUGCGAAAGCAUUUACCAAGGAUGUUUUCAUUAA